CGUCGGUAGCGGCCACGCCUUGGG
rnacentral:siRNA from 1 species